UUUGAUUGUUUUCUAAAAACUAU
rnacentral:snRNA from 1 species